CCGGCACGGGUGAGUAACACGUAUCCAACCUGCCGUCUACUCUUGGACAGCCUUCUGAAAGGAAGAUUAAUACAAGAUGGCAUCAUGAGUCCGCAUGUUCACAUGAUUAAAGGUAUUCCGGUAGACGAUGGGGAUGCGUUCCAUUAGAUAGUAGGCGGGGUAACGGCCCACCUAGUCUUCGAUGGAUAGGGGUUCUGAGAGGAAGGUCCCCCACAUUGGAACUGAGACACGGACCAA
rnacentral:rRNA from 1 species